UUCAGGUCCAGGAUUUGCAUUCCAUUACUCCUGACUGCUGCUUGGAAGUUAGUGUACAGUUAUUCAUCCCCUUUCUUAUCAACAGGUGCUUAAUAAAGAAAAUCAAUGGCAUCAAAAGGUCAUGGUAAUGGAUGGCGUAAGAAAGGUAAGAAAGGAACUGAUAAUCUUCCCGUAGGUCAAUAUACACCACUACCACCACCACCUCCCGUUACCACAGCUCUUCAAGGCAAAUAUUUCACUACCAAAUGCAUUUUUCAUGCCCCCACCGUCCCACCAGUUCCAACCCUCUUCUCCCCACAAUAGUCUGCAUAGUAGCUCUUCAUCUGUACCUUCAACAUCAUCCACACCUAGCCUUUAUGGAUUGAGAAUUGGAGGUGCUAGCACAUCAACAUCUCCAUCCGUUGAUAGUGGUACAACGUCUAAUGCCACAACAGCUGCUUCCCAGAUUUUGAAAUUUAAAGAGGUAGUACAAUAUGACAACGGCCGGCUAAUUAUCGCCCCUGAUGGUGGUAAUGGGUUCAUUCUCGUAUGUAGCGGCGAACAUAUGAUUGUAGAAGCAAUUAAACCAUUUUACACGGAGUCGUGGGGUAGUUGGAAUGAGAUACACUCGACGUCAGAAUUCUUAUGUGUAACCAAUUUAUGACAAAGUAUGCAUGGAAUUCUUGUCAUGAAAAUGAAAUACAACGCAUUUUUAAGCUCAAAGCAGCUCUACGGAUCAAAUAACACUUAUAUGAGGCCCGAAAAAAUUU